rnacentral:misc_RNA from 1 species
UCUCUUUUUUUGAGUAAAUAGCUUCUAUUUGCUUUCUAAUUCUAUCUUCUUUUUUUACUUUUUUCCCUUUAGAGUCUCGUAGCUCAGCUGGUUAGAGCGCUACACUGAUAAUGUAGAGGUCGGCAGUUCGAGUCUGCCCGAGACUACAUAAUUAAAGGGGGGAUUAGCUCAGCUGGUUAGAGCGCCGCGUUUGCAACGCGGAGGUCAUCGGUUCGACUCCGAUAUUCUCCACUAAAAAGUUCUUUGACAUAUUGUAAUGAAUAUAUAUAUACUUAAUAUUUAAAAGUUAUUAAGGGCGUAUGGCGGAUGCCUUGGCUCUCAUUGGCGAUGAAGGACGUGACAAGCUGCGAUAAGUUUCGAUUAGGUGCAAAUAACCUUGGAAUCGAAGAUUCCGAAUGGG